rnacentral:rRNA from 1 species
CCUUGUGCUAUUGGAAUGGCCGAUAUCUGAUUAGCUAGUUGGUAGGGUAAAAGCCUACCAAGGCGACGAUCAGUAGCUGGUCUGAGAGGACGACCAGCCACACUGGAAGUGAGACACGGUCCAGACUCCUACGGGAGGCAGCAGUGGGGAAUUUUGGACAAUGGGGGCAACCCUGAUCCAACAAGGCCGCGUGAGUGAAGAAGGCCCUCGGGUGUAAAUUAAUUGGUCAGGGAAGAAACGGAGUUCUCUAAUAUA